AAAGAGUUUGAAUCCUGGCUCAGGAUGAACGCUGGCGGCGUGCCUAAUACAUGCAAGUCGAGCGAACUUAUUAGAAGCUUGCUUCUAUGACGUUAGCGGCGGACGGGUGAGUAACACGUGGGCAACCUGCCUGUAAGACUGGGAUAACUUCGGGAAACCGAAGCUAAUACCGGAUAGGAUCUUCUCCUUCAUGGGAGAUGAUUGAAAGAUGGUUUCGGCUAUCACUUACAGAUGGGCCCGCGGUGCAUUAGCUAGUUGGUGAGGUAACGGCUCACCACGUCAACGAUGCAUAGCCGACCUGAGAGGGUGAUCGGCCACACUGGGACUGAGACACGGCCCAGACUCCUACCGGAGGCAGCAGUAGGGAAUCUUCCGCAAUGGACGAAAGUCUGACGGAGCAACGCCGCGUGAGUGAUGAAGGCUUUCGGGUCGUAAAACUCUGUUGUUAGGGAAGAACAAGUACGAGAGUAACUGCUCGUACCUUGACGGAACCUAACCAGAAAGCCACGGCUAACUACGUGCCAGCAGCCGCGGUAAUACGUAGGUGGCAAGCGUUAUCCGGAAUUAUUGGGCGUAAAGCGCGCGCAGGCGGUUUCUUAAGUCUGAUGUGAAAGCCCACGGCUCAACCGUGGAGGGUCAUUGGAAACUGGGGAACUUGAGUGCAGAAGAGAAAAGCGGAAUUCCACGUGUAGCGGUGAAUUGCGUAGAGAUGUGGAGGAACACCAGUGGCGAAGGCGGCUUUUUGGUCUGUAACUGACGCUGAGGCGCGAAAGCGUGGGGAGCAAACAGGAUUAGAUACCCUGGUAGUCCACGCCGUAAACGAUGAGUGCUAAGUGUUAUAGGGUUUCCGCCCUUUAGUGCUGCAGCUAACGCAUUAAGCACUCCGCCUGGGGAGUACGGUCGCAAGACUGAAACUCAAAGGAAUUGACGGGGGCCCGCACAAGCGGUGGAGCAUGUGGUUUAAUUCGAAGCAACGCGAAGAACCUUACCAGGUCUUGACAUCCUCUGACAACUCUAGAGAUAGAGCGUUCCCCUUCGGGGGACAGAGUGACAGGUGGUGCAUGGUUGUCGUCAGCUCGUGUCGUGAGAUGUUGGGUUAAGUCCCGCAACGAGCGCAACCCUUGAUCUUAGUUGCCAGCAUUUAGUUGGGCACUCUAAGGUGACUGCCGGUGACAAACCGGAGGAAGGUGGGGAUGACGUCAAAUCAUCAUGCCCCUUAUGACCUGGGCUACACACGUGCUACAAUGGAUGGUACAAAGGGCUGCAAGACCGCGAGGUCAAGCCAAUCCCAUAAAACCAUUCUCAGUUCGGAUUGUAGGCUGCAACUCGCCUACAUGAAGCUGGAAUCGCUAGUAAUCGCGGAUCAGCAUGCCGCGGUGAAUACGUGCCCGGGCCUUGUACACACCGCCCGUCACACCACGAGAGUUUGUAACACCCGAAGUCGGUGGAGUAACCGUAAGGAGCUAGCCCGGUAAGGUGGGACAGAUGAUUGGGGUGAAGUCGUAACAAGGUAGCCGUAUCGGAAGGUGCGUU
rnacentral:rRNA from 1 species